rnacentral:sRNA from 1 species
GGAUGAAUAUAGUGAACGUGAGUGUCUAUUCCUCCUGCUGUUAAUAUUCUUCCUUCUCCUGCUAAAGCUUCAGUUCCAACACCAACUACAAAGUCAACAUCAUCCAUUGUAUCUGGGUUGCCCCCUUUACCAAUAGCAAGUAUCUUUCCAUCUUUAAUUCCAACAUCUGCUUUAUAUAUCCCAGUAUAAUCAACUAUUGUUGCUCCUGUUAUAAUUAAAUCAGCAACUUCUGGGUUUUUAUUUGUUUGUGUGGCAUUUUGCCCCAUACCAUCUCU